UACAGAGGGUGCAAGCGUUGUUCGGAAUUAUUGGGCGUAAAGCGCACGUAGGCGGUCCUCUAAGUCGGGUGUGAAAGCCCGGGGCUUAACCCCGGAAGUGCACUCGAAACUGGAGGGCUUGAGUAUGGAAGAGGGUCUCGGAAUUCCCGGUGUAGAGGUGAAAUUCGUAGAUAUCGGGAGGAACACCAGUGGCGAAGGCGGAGACCUGGGCCAAUACUGACGCUGAGGUGCGAAAGCGUGGGGAGCAAACAGG
rnacentral:rRNA from 1 species